rnacentral:rRNA from 1 species
AUUGAACUCUGGCGGCAGGCCUAACACAUGCAAGUCUAGCGAUCUGCGGACGGGUGCGUAAUGUCUGGGAAACUGCCCGAUGGAGGGGGAUAACUACUGCAAACGGUCGCUAAUACCGCAUACCAUCUGAUGUGCCCAGAUGGUAUUAGCUAGUAGGGGGGGUAACGGCUCACCGAGGCGACGAUCCCUAGCUGGUCUGAGAGGAUGACCAGCCACACUGGGACUGAGACACGGUCCAGACUCCUACGGGAGGCAGCAGUGGGGAAUAUUGGACAAUGGGGGCAAGCCUGAUGCAGCCAUGCCGCGUGUGUGAAGAAGGCCUUCGGGUUGUAAAGCACUUUCGGCGGGGAGGCGUUACCCGCAGAAGAAGCACCGGCUAACUACGUGCCAGCAGCCGCGGUAAUAC